ensembl:processed_transcript crsp7 cofactor required for Sp1 transcriptional activation, subunit 7
GAAUUCUGCCCAAGUGCCCUCUCCUUUGCCCACACUGCAGCCUUUAACGUCGCCGGCACAAGUGUGCAUCAGUGACGGACCAUCAUCUGUGGGGCUGGAAGGCUCGUUGCACUUGCACAGAUCAUCAGAUAGAGUCUCUCAGCCCCCACAUAGCACUGCAACACUGGAGCCGCUCUCUGGUGCCCUGCUCGCCACACACGGCCUGGAGGGUCUGGAGACCAAGGCUGAGCGGGAGGGAGCAUCCUCCAACUCGGAUGGCAAAAAGAGGAAGAAAUACAGACCCAGAGACUAUACCGUAAAUCUUCAGGGGCAGUCCUCCGAGGACAGGACCAAACCACGGUUAAAAGAGCGUAGGUUAACAUUCGACCCAGUGACCGGACAGAUUAAGCCCCUCACUCCAAAAGAAUCCCACCAAGAGGAAGAGUGCCAAGGACAGCCAAUCCCUGAGCCAUCAGUGAGGACUGAUAUCCCGCAGCAAAAGCCACCUACGUCGGUUCCCAACCCUUUUCAACAGACGAACUGGAAAGAGUUGUCCAGAAAUGAAAUCAUUCAAUCGUACCUUAACCUUCAGAGCAAUGUUCUUACAUCCUCUGGAGCACAGACCCAUGGGGCACACUUUUUCAUGACUGAAUAUUUAAAACGAGAGGAACACGAUGUCAAAGAGCCCCGGAAAAUGCACGUUUUAGCCCCAGGCAGCUCCACAACAGAACUGCCCGGGGUGUCUCGGGACGUAACGAACGAGGACCUUCUCAGAAUACACAAUGAACACUGGCCGGGUGUGAAUGGCUGUUAUGACACCAAGGGAGCCUGGUUUGAUUGGACAGACUGCAUAUCGUUGGAUCCUCACGGUGAUGAGAGCAAGUUGAACAUCCUGCCAUAUGUUUGCCUAGACUGAGAGAACAGGGUUUGAAAAGUUUUCAAUGUUCCCACUGUGAGUCCGAGGAGGUGCAUCCCACUCUCCUUGUCGCUCUGUACAAGGUUCAUCGUACAAGUGUAACGAACGAACCAACAGCGGCUGUUCUGAGUACGGUUUUCCAUUAGAAGGAGCUGAAAAGAAGUCCUGUUUGUAAUGUGCUGCUACCAACAAGAAUUUGCAAACAAGGGUUGUAUAUAAUGGCUCGCAGGGAUUUAACUGGGCCAGUUCUUGCACAGUGUGUUAAUAGGAGGGUCCGAGCAAGCAUUGAGCAGUGCAGAAAUGUUUAAAAGCAAGUUGAGAACAUUUUUUGGCAGUUACGAAGAGCUUUAUGUGACAAAGAAUAAAUUAUAAAAAGUUUCUUAUCAUGUAUGCAUCUAUUUAUUUGAACUUUUUUUUUUUUUUCCAUUUGUUUAUUUUCUCCUAGCAGAAGGUUAUCCACUAAGAUGUGCAGAUAUGUUUGAGGCUUUUCUGUUGGCAUCACACCUCUGUCCCCUUAUUUGUGAUGUACAUGAGGCAUAUAUAAAUGCAUUUCUUUUCACGGCAGUUCUCACCUUCGUGUGCUGAUUGCAGUAGAUACCAACAUUCCAUUCCGAACUCAACGUCAUUUCUCGCUUAACAUUUCGUUUCUCAGUUUAUCUAAUAUAUGUGAUUUUCAUAUGAGAGAGAAGCAAUCUAUUUUUAGAUGUGUUAAAUAAAACAAUAUUUUAAAUAAAUCUGUUUGCCAGAUAAUUGUAAAAAGAAAAAAUUAUGGGUCUGUCAAAAAAAGAAAGAAGUAUUCAUGUGCUUGAAGGAAAUGCAGUGAACGGCCACAGAGGGUGCUACUUUACAUCUUCAUACUGUGAGGACAGGAAGGCAGGAAAAUGUUAAUAUGCUGGAAAUAUACUUGUUACCAUUCCUUUAGAUAUUGUUUGCCUUACUAAAAAACAUUCAGCAAUGACUUUAUUUGAAGAGCCUUAGCGAAUGUACGGCAUUUAGAUCUUUUGUUUUGGCGGUAAAGAAGAAAAUACCUCUUGGCAUCUGCCAUAUGGUCUUUUUUUCUUUCAAAUGGGCGCAUUGUGCUAUGAAUGUGUCAAUAAAUAUGCGCGUUAUCCUGCUUGUCUGUACAUACUACUUGCAAUUCAUGUAAAACCUUUUAAGUCUUUUUUUUUAUUUUUAUUUUCGUGUGAAUGUAACCAAUUUGGGAAGAAAAUAAGCAUUUUUGAGUAAAAGGCCCAAUCGUUUGAGUUGCUCUUCACAGGCAUCUUUAGAGUUAGGUUUAUAGGCUGUGGUCCUAUUCAUUCUGUUUGACAUCUUAUUGAUAUUUUUUUCUCAUUCAAAAUUUUUUUAACGCCUUGCCAUUGUUUUGAAGAAAAAAUGUCUUGUAAGGGGGAUGAAACCAAUUUGCUGCCGACUUGCGAACACUGUGUGCUCUGCUACCUUCGUCCUACCAAUGUGCCUUUGAUGUAAAAAGUUUGGAAAGGCUUCCGCUAGCUUCUUUUGGUUUCUAAAGUAUGGCAUAUGUUUUCUUAAAACCAUGUCUGAUAUUCCAGGGAUAUGCAUUGUUUCUGAAGCAAAGGCCAUCUAAGAGCUCAACACUUGGUUAGGGUAUUGCAAAUAUAAUUUGCGAUUUAAAUCUAGAGGAGAGACUUCUUUGAUCAUUUUUGAUCAGUAUAUUUGUUCAGUGUUUAACAUCACUCAUUUGUUCGAAAAAAUAAAAUGAUCAAAAAUCUA